UGACUAGGGUAGUAUGAGUAGA
rnacentral:miRNA from 1 species